rnacentral:rRNA from 2 species
AGCUUACCAUGCAGUCGUGCGGCAUCGAAGGAAAAAGAUUUAUUUUUUUCUUGUCGGCGAGCGGCAAACGGGUGAGUAAUAUCUGGGGAUCUGCCCAAAAGGGGGGGAUAGCUGCUGGAAACGGUUGCUAAUACCGCAUAAUGUUGAAAAACCAAAGGAGGGGACUUUUAUAUUUUAAAAUCCUUACGUUUUUGGAUGAACCCAUACUAGAUUAGCUUGAUGGUAAGGUAAAGGCUUACCUUGGCAACAAUCUCUAGCUGGUCUGAGAGGACGAUCACCCACACUGGAACUGAGACACGGUCCAAACUCCUACGGGAGGAAGCAGUGGGGAAUAUUGAACAAUGGGCGCAAGCCUGAUGCAGCUAUGCCGCGUGUAUGAAGAAGGCCUUAGGGUUGUAAAGUACUUUCGUUAGGGAGGAAAGAAAUAUAUGUAAUACAUGUAUUUUUUGACGUAACCUAAAAAAAAAUCCCCGGCUAACUCCGUGCCAACACCCGCGGUAAGACGGAGGGUGCUAACGUUAGUCGGAAUUACUGGGCGUAAAGAGCACUUAGGCGGUUUUUUAAGUCCCAUGUGAAAUCCCUAAGCUUAACUUAGGAAUUGCAUUUGAAACUAAUAAACUAGAGUAUCAUAGAGGGAGGUAGAAUUCUAGGUGUAGCGGAGAAAUGCGUAGAUAUCUGGAGGAAUACCUGUGGCGAAAGCGACCUCCUGGAUGAAUACUGACGCUGAGGUGCGAAAGCGUGGGGAGCAAACACGAUUAGAUACCCUGGUAGUCCAUGCCGUAAACGAUGUCGACUUGGAGGUUGUUUCCUUAGAGAAAUGACUUCCGUAGCUAACGCGUUAAGUCGACCGCCUGGGGAGUACGGCCGCAAGGCUAAAACUCAAAUGAAUUGACGGGGGCCCGCACAAGCGGUGGAGCAUGUGGUUUAAUUCGAUGCAACGCGAAAAACCUUCCCUGGUCUUUACAUCCAUAGAAUUUUUUAGAGAUAAAGAAGUGCCUUCACGGGAACUAUGAGACAGGUGCUGCAUGGCUGUCGUCAGCUCGUGUUGUGAAAUGUUGGGUUAAGUCCCGCAACGAGCGCAACCCCUAUUCUCUGUUGCCAGCGGUUCGGCCGGGAACUCAGAGGAGACCGCCGGUUAUAAACCGGAGGAAGGGGGGGGGGACGUCAAGUCAUCAUGGCCCCUACGACCAGGGGUACACACGUGCUACAAUGGGGAAUACAAAGAGAAGCAAAUCUGCGAAGACAAGCCAACCUCAUAAAAUUUGUCGUAGUUUGGAUUGGAGUCUGCAACUCGACUCCAUGAAGUGGGAAUCGCUAGUAAUCGUGGAUCAGAAUGCCACGGUGAAUACGUUCCCGGGCCCUGUACACACCGCCCGUCACACCACGGGAGUGGGGUGCAAAAGAAGCAAGUAUCUUAACCCGAAAAGGAGAGCGCUACCACGUUA